UUUCCCUCAGGAUAGCUGGAACUUACGGCAGUUUUAUCAGGUAAAGCGAAUGAUUAGAGGUCUUAGGGUUAAAACAACCUUAACCUAUUCUCAAACUUUAAAUUGGUAAGAAGUCCGACUUGCUUAAUUGAAGCCGGACAGUGAAUGCGAGUUCCUAGUGGGCCAUUUUUGGUAAGCAGAACUGGCGAUGCGGGAUGAACCG
rnacentral:rRNA from 1 species